rnacentral:rRNA from 1 species
AUUGAACGCUGGCGGCAGGCCUAACACAUGCAAGUCGAACGAGUGGCGGACGGGUGAGUAAUGUCUGGGAAACUGCCUGAUGGAGGGGGAUAACUACUGGAAACGGUAGCUAAUACCGCAUACCAUCGGAUGUGCCCAGAUGGGAUUAGCCAGUAGGUGGGGUAAAGGCUCACCUAGGCGACGAUCCCUAGCUGGUCUGAGAGGAUGACCAGCCACACGGGAACGUAGACACGGUCCAGACUCCUACGGGAGGCAGCAGUGGGGAAUAUUCGACAAGGGACGAAAGUCUUAUCGAGCCAUGCCGCGUGUGUGAAGAAGGUUUUCGGGUCGUAAAGCUCUUUUAUUGGAGAAGCGGUACCCAACCAGAAAGCCCCGGCUAACUCCGUGCCAGCAGCCGCGGUAAUAC